rnacentral:sRNA from 1 species
GUAACAAGGUCUCCGUUGGUGAACCAGCGGAGGGAUCAUUACCGAAGUACUCUUCAUACCCUACUGUGAACCUUACCAUGUCAUUGCAGCGUUGCCUCGGCGCGAGGUCAGGUGGGAGGGGGGGCCCUGCGGCCGCCCCUUUUUACCCAGGCCCCGCCGGCAUCGCCCAACUCUUCAUUUGCAAAGCGGACUGUAUAUUUCUGAUUGUCUUGAAAACAAGUUAAAACUUUCAACAACGGAUCUCUUGGCUCUGGCAUCGAUGAAGAACGCAGCGAAAUGCGAUAAGUAAUGCGAAUUGCAGAAUUCAGUGAAUCAUCGAAUCUUUGAACGCACAUUGCGCCCGGCAGCAAUCUGCCGGGCAUGCCUGUCCGAGCGUCAUUUCUGCCCUCGAGCGCGGUUCGGCCCCCUAGCGGGCCGCGCCGCCGCCCGGUGUUGGGGAUCUGCGGGUUCCGCCCGCAGGCCCUGAAAAGAAGUGGCGGCCCCGCCGCGGCGCCCCCUGCGUAGUAGUAAGACACCUCGCAUCGGGACCCGGCGGAGGCCAGCCGUCGAACCCAUCUCCUUGAGAAUGUUUGACCUCGGAUCAGGUAGGGAUACCCGCUGAACUUAAGCAUAUCAAUAA